UGUCAUCAAAAUGGACAAAAAGGGAUGUAUCUAAAACUAAAAUACAUCUAGAUACAUCCCUUUUAUCCAUUUUGAUGACAAGUAUUUCCGGACGGAGGGAGUAUAUA
rnacentral:pre_miRNA from 1 species